rnacentral:tRNA from 1 species
GGUGAGGUGUCCGAGUGGCUGAAGGAGCACGCCUGGAAAGUGUGUAUACGGCAACGUAUCCGAGGUUCGAAUCCCCGCCUCACCGCCA